rnacentral:rRNA from 1 species
UACGGAGGGUGCGAGCGUUGCUCGGAAUUAUUGGGCGUAAAGCGUACGCAGGCGGCUUGGCAAGUCGAGUGUGAAAGCCCAGGGCUCAACCCCGGAACUGCAUUCGAUACUGCUAGGCUUGAGUGCGGGAGAGGGAAGCGGAAUUCCUGGUGUAGAGGUGAAAUUCGUAGAUAUCAGGAGGAACACCGGUGGCGAAAGCGGCUUCCUGGCCCGACACUGACGCUCAUGUACGAAAGCGUGGGGAGCAAACAGG